AACCAACGCUGGCGGCGUGCCUAAUACAUGCAAGUCGAACGGGGAAAGUAGCAAUAUGAGUACUAGUGGCGCACGGGUGAGUAACGCGUGGAUAAUCUGCCUUGAAGAGGGGGAUAACUAGUCGAAAGAUUAGCUAAUACCGCAUAAGACCACAAGAACUGAGGUUCAAGGGGUCAAAGGUUUUUCGCUUCAAGAUGAGUCCGCGUAAGAUUAGCUAGUUGGUGAGGUAAUGGCUCACCAAGGCAACGAUCUUUAACUGGUCUGAGAGGAUGAUCAGUCACACUUGAACUGAGACACAGUCCAGACUCCUACGGGAGGCAGCAGUAAGGAAUAUUGCACAAUGGAGGAAACUCUGAUGCAGCUACGCCGCGUGAAUGAUGAAGGCCUUCGGGUCGUAAAGCUCUGUCGCAGGGGAAUAACACAAUGAAUGUACCCUAUAAGAAAGGAUCGGCUAACUUCGUG
rnacentral:rRNA from 1 species